rnacentral:lncRNA from 1 species
CGAGGGGGGGUUCAGCUCUGACGGCUGUGCUCCUUCUUCCCACAUCCCUCACCCUUCAUCCUGCAUCCCACAUCCCUCAGGCUGGCAAGAGGUGUGCAAAUGAGAGACUGGAAGGAAUAAAGGCAUCAUCCCAGAGCGGGCUCUCCCUUUGGGCUCCUGCUGAAGGCUGGAUCUCGUGGUCUCGCAGCCCCAUCUCCCACGUGUGCUGGUGAAGUGCUUCAGAUCCUGCAGUGCUCUCAGACAGCCCAAAAGGUGCUUCACAAUGCCGGCCGGCCUGGAGAAAGCCUGUCACCGCUGCAUAUCCAAAAUUGCCAGCAAUGCAUGCUUUAUAUUUGGGCUCCUUGCUUUCCUUGCCUUACCAUUGUCCAUGACUUUUACAGGAAUGAAGUUUUUGGAAGAUUGCCCAGUUCAGCCACUAAUUCCAUUAUAUCUGUUGGUGGGUGGCGUGAUUGGCAGCUUAAAGGUAA